rnacentral:lncRNA from 1 species
UUUUUUUUUUUUUUUUUUUUUUUUUUUGCUCUUUAGGGCUGCACCCACGGCAUAUGGAGGUUCCCAGGCUAGGGGUCAAAUCAGACGUACACCAUUGGCCUGUGCCAAGCCACAGGCACAGCAACGCAGAAUCUGAGCUGUAUCUGCAACCUACACCACAGCUCACGGCAAUGCCAGAUCCUUAAUCCACUGAGCAAGGCCAGGGAUUGAACCUAAAUCUUCAUGGUUACUAGUUGAAUUCUUUCCGCUGCACCACAAUGGAAACUCCCAGGUUCUUUCUUCUUAACUCUAGGUUUGGGGCAUUGGUAGGGAAUAUGUUUUCUCCAGAGAAGAUGAGGCCAGAGAAGGGAGGGUUAAAGUAUGAGGCUUUGGGUUCCAAAUAAAAAGACCCUUUAAGUCUUCUCCAUAAAUUAGGAGGUGAUACAUGCUGCGUGUGAGGAUGCUAAAUAAGGCUGGGGGCCUGAGCAUAGGAGAGACUGGGAGACCCCUCAGUGAUGUUGCAGUGAGGGAAUGGUGUGCAAACCAGAAAUGAAAAAAGAAUGAUAUCCAGCAGGCUGAGGACAAGGCUGUCCAAGUCUCCCCCUGGGGCCAUAGACAUGGGAAGGAGAGACCAAUCACAUUUUCACCAGGAGCAGCCAGUAUACUCUUAAGUCCUCGGCUUCACAGUUGAGAAGUGGAUCACCGGAGUUCACAGCCGGUGAAUCUACACAGUGAGCCUGGCGAAGAGGGGGGAAAAAAAAAGGCUCUGAAUCAGAUGUUUAAUUUAACUCUUAGGAAGUGGAGGAGAGGUUCUCCCAUGUCUGUGGAGAUGGUGAUAAAAGGGGAUUGAGCUCAAUGAAGAGCAUGACAGGAGCUUUAAAAGGGAAUUUACAGUUAAUUUACAGUGGCGGAGGACUUGUUAGCCCCCGGAGGCCAAAGAUUAGGUGGUACAUUUUUUUUUGUACCUCCCUCUGCACCUGACAAUGCUUAAAUACAUAUACUCAGAACUCAUGAGAAAGGGAGGGUGUCGUUCUGGGAAAUGACUAUUCUGAGCAGGAUAAGAGAAGUAAACAUGCACGGCCUCGGAAUCUGUCUUACAGCCCACAGGCCAGAGUUCAGGGAGACCUUCCCAUGGCUAAAAAAGAACCUGGCAGUGGCAAUGGGAAGUUAAGCAGAACUGAACUUUGAGCAUGAAACAAGGACCUCCAAACUUGGGCUUCUGGGACCUUGAGUUGUUAGCUCUAUCCAUCCUUUCUCCGUUUGGGCUCUUACGUGCACUUGAAUGCUUUCAGAUGAUUCUCUCAGUCUUGUAAUUACUGGAAUCUGGGAAACAGAGGUUGGAAUAUAUGGAAUGACUGAUAUUUUUAAUAAUUAACCACCAUUGAUUUCUCAGUCAAAGGUCAUUUCCUUCUUCCCUUUCAGACACUCAGACACUUGGCAUCUGUGUGCAAAAGUAAAAAUCAUUCACAGAUUAUUGAUACUAUGUAAUCCCCUCCACCUCCCAUUCCACCUACGUAAACCCUGAAAGGUCUGAGCUUUGUGACAGAAGUUCCUAUUGGCGAGAAGCUCACCACUCUGUGAGGGCACUGUGUUACAUAUGCCCACACUGCUGUUGGCCUUAGACUCUGCUCAGCAGGUAGGGGAGGUGGUAGAGUUGGUCAAAGGACAUGCAGGCAAAGGAGGAAAGCAGUUGCUAAUGAAAAUUUUCCAUCCACUCUUUCCUACCUGACAUUUGAUGGGUAAAUAUUUUUCUGCUUUUGUCUUUUUUGGGUAGAUAAGAAGGGGAUUUUGUCCCCUAGAGAACCUAUUAGUUGUGACAUGUGCUGGGUUCUACAGCUGGAGAAACAUCUGCAGAAACUAAUUCUUUGUUGUUGAGCCUUUAGUGACCUCUCCUUUAACUUCAGGCUCCUUUCUAGUAUUUCCAGCAAGGACAGUGAAUUAGUUCUCAUUAGGCCAAGAAUUGGAGGAUACAGUUUGUACCAUGGGGUUGCAAUGUUGUCUCCAAAAUCACUGAUGAUUUGACCACUUCAGUGCUCCCCAGUGCUGGUGUAGGAAGUCUUUGGGGGCCAUUGCUGGUCUCUGGGUCAAUCAAGGAAAGGUCUAUGGCAGAGAUAUUUUGUAGGGCUCACCCCAAGACUCUUCUGGGACAAGAGGAGGAUUCCUAGGGGAAUGGUUUCCAUAAGGGCCAUUUUUUUUAUUGCCUUUUGUUUUGUUUUGUUUUUUUGUUUUUUUCAGGGCCGCACUUGCGACAUAUGGAGGUUCCCAGCCUAGGGGUCAAAUUGGAGCUGUAGCCGCUGGCUCAGCCACAGAAACACCAGAUCUGAGCCAUGUCUGCGACCUACACCACAGCUCAAGUCAACGCCGGAUCCUUGACCCACUGAGCAAGGCCAGGGAUCAAGACUGGAUGCUAGUCAGUUUCAUUUCCACUGAGCCAUGGAUUCUAGUCAGAUUCAUUUCCACUGAGCCAUGAAGGGAACUCAAAUAAGGGCUGUUCUUCAUGGAAGUAAUUAGAGAUUUGACUGUCUGGAAUCCUGUCUUGCAUAUAUGAAAUAAAUUUCCAGUUCUGAUCUUCCACGGUGGCAGAAAAGAGUUUAGCUUUGAGCUAUGGGUGCAGUGUUAUGUGUCACCAAGCCCCAUCCACAAAUAAAUAUGACUGGCAUUUGAAUGGCAUUGUUGUUGGAAUGUCUUCCUUAUAUUUCUAAUACUUCUUUUUGCUUUGUUUCAAGUUGCCUGUUAAAUUCAGUUAAUUUCUUAAAUGCCUUGUGGAGCUUGUGAAAUGCUUUUUUUUUUCUAUGCAGAGGUAUUUCAUGUAUAAUUAUUAAGCUCUUCAUUAAUCAGUUCUUUAUUACCCUGAGCAAAAGAAAAUUAAGGAGGAAACCAAAAUACAUUUUGAACAGCCAGAAUGAUGUCACAAAAUAAAUCUGUGCUCUGCAAUGUAUUUUCAGUAUUCUCAUAUGGUGUUAGUUUGCUAAGAGAUUCAUCAUGAUGGGAUGCUAAAUUUCAUAAAAGGCUUUUUCUUCAUCCAUUGAGAUAAUGAUACAGUCAUUCUCUUUAUUUCUGUAAUUGUGGUGAAAUAAAUUAAUUGAUUUUAAAGUGUCAAUCCAAUUUUGCAUUUCUGAAAUAAAUCCCACAUGGUUUUGAUGUGUUACAGAUUUUAAAUAUUGCUGUUGUCCUUGCCAGAUUUUGAAGUAAGGUCAUGCUCUCAUAUUUAAAUAAGUUGGGGAGGGUGAUGCCAGCAAGAUGGCCAAAUAAGAUGUCCCUCAUUUAUAUCCCCCAUUCAACAACAAUAAUUUGGAGUCCAUCCUCAGGCAAGAGUGCCUUUGUGAGAGCUUGGGAUCCAGUUAGGAGUUGGUGAAAUCCCACUGCAGUCCAAGACCAAGGAGACCCAUUUUGAGAAGGCAGGCUCUUUCUCAGCUGGCUGAUCCUCUGUCCAUGGUCCCAACUGCAUACCUGGAAACAGCUCUGUCCGCUGAGAACUUUACUGCAGCUCUGUUUGGCUUUGAUUCUGUCAUAGCACCAUACACCAAGGGACCCAGGGGGAGUCAUGCCCACCUACAUAUCAAGUGAUACACAUACGGACCUUGGCCUUUGUAAUGGACCAUUAACCCACUCCCACCCUCCUGGGCUGUGAUUUGGGAGCUCCUAGAAGCAACAUCAGGAUGGCAGCAUAGGUUAUUCCUAGCUUUUAGUCCCCCUCACAAGAAGACCACCUAAUAACUAUCCAUAGACAAGGCACCAUCGUAAAAAUCCUAGAACCUGAGGGUGAGGCUGAAGCAAGCUCCUUAGAACAUGGAGAUAGAGAAGGGACUGCAUUAGAAUAGGAAGAGGAGAGGUUUCACUUUGACAGCAUGGCCCCUUCCUAUGUAGAUACAACACCAUGCUGCCCAGGGCCUGCAGUUUCCUCAGUGGGAAAGGAGAGCAAAAUGGACCUUCAGCUCCCCCAGCUUUGGAUGUACUUCCUGGGAGGCCCAUGCAGAUCUUGCAUUGUGGGGAUCUCUGUGGGAAUCUAUAAGGUUGAUCGCCGGGGAUCAGAUAGAGAUGGAAAAGGGAUGCAGUCAGAUCUUGGUGGACCAUAUUACUGUUGCAGCAGCACCCGAGUGGUUCUAUCUGCCCAUCUGCAGAGCCUAGCCAGUGGGGUCUACUGGCCAUGGAGCCUAUUCUAUGGCCAAACCCCGGCAGGGAAGCAAAAUUAUAGGUUUUACUAGUUGCUUAAUGUAGCCUCCAGUCCUGCCAGAGUGGAAGGCUUGGCCAGUGAACCCAGGAAGCUCUGGAGCUCAUCUUACAGCCAGGAACCAAGCCAGCAGCCCUGCUCAACUGCAUAGCUGCUGGUUUCACACACCCAGGGAGCCUAAACAGUGACCCUGGGCAGCCGCAGGCCCAGCCUGUGGUCCUGCGUGAUUGGUGAACAUAGCUGGGUGCAUCAUCCAGGCAGGAGCCCUGCCAGUGAACCCACCCAACUAUGGAGCACGACCUGUUGCCCCACCCAACCAGGUAACUCAGAGAGCACCCUGCCCAACCAUGGCGAAUAGUCUUCACCUCACCACACUGCUGGAUACAACUGGAUGCCUUGUCCGACCAGACCAGAGAGCCUAGCCGGUGACCUUGCCCAAAGGUGGAGCAGAGCUAGUGACCUACUUGAUUGCAAAGCCCAGCCUGUGGCCCUGCCCAACUUUGGAGCACAGCUUGUGGCUCUGCUUGAUUGCAGAACUCAGUCUAAAGCUGUCUGACCCUGAAGCCCUUCCUGCGGUCCCUCCAGAUCAUGGAGUCCAACCAGUGGCACCGUCUGGUGGGGGAGCACAGCCUGAGGCCCCAGGGAGCCACUUCCACUACAUUGUUUCAGAACCUAACUUUCUCUUUUAAGUAUGUGUGCAGUUUAUAUAUAUGUAUGUAUAAAUGAUAUAUAUAUAUGGUUAUGAGGGAGGAAGCAAUAGGUCAGACACAGGUGAUCUUAUUUAGGGCUGUGAAACAAUUUGUAUGAUUCUACAGUGGUGGGUAUAUGUUAUAAAUUUGUUAAAAUUUUGUAAAACACAAGGAGAUAACUCUAAUGUAAACUAGAUUGAUGAUAAUUUGUCAGUGUUGGUUCGGUGGGGUAGGCUGUGUGUGGGGGGGGGGAGGAUAUGUGGGAACUUUCUGUACAAUUUGCUCAAUGCUUAACUUUGCUGUGAACCUAAAACUGCUCUAAAAACUAAAGCCUGUU